AAUUAAUCUUUUUCGAAAUACACGAAAGUCGAAAAGAGCAUUUCUGUUGGUUUUCGAAAUCUUACAGUGAAAAUGCUAAAAGGUGCCAGCAUAUUUCCCAAGAUUUCUUUAACCGAACAUGGGUAGCAGAAAAAACUUAUUUUCGUUUUCGUGUAUGUUCUUUUUUAUAUAAAUGUAGCUAACAGUAGGAGGUUUCAUUUCUGUGGGAUUAUGUUAUGAUCUGAAAGGGAAUAAUUUCAUUCUUAACAGUUGGACUAUUUAUCUAAUUUAAUUGAAAAUCCAUAAAAGACAUUAUUUCAAGAAUUUGAUAUUUAUUGUUCAAUUUAAAUGUUUUUUUUUAAUAAUGUUCGAACAAUAUAGUUUUCUUGAUAUCCUCUCACGGUUGAUUGCUCUAAUCCUUUUAAUGGGCCAUUCUCAUGAAUAGCCGAACUAACUUGGUCUUAAGUGGGCAUCGAUAUAAUAUAUUACCACCUUUAUAUUGGAAUAGAAUUACAUGAAUUAGUUACUUAAUUGAUGUUCAAUCAUAAUGUUACAUAAACACAUGACCUCAACUCGGACAGUCUUCGCGCCAGCUGAUAAUUACAUGGACUAAAGAUUAGUUUCAUUGUGCUCACUUAUGUGUUAAAGAAAUUGUUUAAAGGCAUUAAUUCUGUUUCGCAUUUUAAGUUUUAUAAAAAAUAAAACGGUUAACGGUAAAGUAAAUACAACGACCAUUUAAAGAAAAAAAAAGUAAUAACAAACAGUCCAGCUUAAAGCGACUGUUUUCAUUUUAUAAGUAAGUCUGUAUAUAAUUUUCUUAACAUUCAUCUCUUCAUAUAUAAUUAUUCAUGUGUUUAACAGUUAUUUACUAUUGUAUAUGAUAUGAGCUUUUUUUAAUUAAAUAUUCAUGAACAGUUAGAUGUUUCAGUAUCCACUUUUCCGAAAGUGUAUAUCUCUCCCACCGCAAGUGAUGCCUGUUUCGCCCGGAAGUGAUGUUCCAUCAACAAAACAUUCUCCCGACCAAUCGACGCACCUCCUACACCACACCCUUUUCUUCGUGCCAGCUGACUACAAACAACGCUACCAGGAGUGUCCAUUCACGCAACCGGAAGAGGUGCCCCUUGCUGCAUUGAGAAAACCUCCUUAUUGCGCCAGCUGUUGUCGGUGAAAUAGCCAAAAAAACGUUUUUACUACUAUAAAGUGCCCGACAGCCGCGUCUCUGUCCCCCAACCCCUCCCGUCUCCCGAUCGUUUCUUGGAAGUUUUCCACCGCAUUGACCAAUUGGCUUUAUGGCAGGACUGGAAAAGUUAGGAAA